UACAGAGGUGGCAAGCGUUGUUCGGAAUUACUGGGCGUAAAGGGUGCGUAGGCGGCGCGGUAAGUCGGGUGUGAAAUCUCGGAGCUUAACUCCGAAACUGCAUUCGAUACUGCCGUGCUUGAGGACUGGAGAGGAGACUGGAAUUUACGGUGUAGCGGUGAAAUGCGUAGAUAUCAGGAGGAACACCGAUGGCGAAGGCAGUGGUCUGGGCCGAUACUGACGCUGAGGAGCGAAAGCGUGGGGAGCGAACAGG
rnacentral:rRNA from 1 species